CAUAAUAAACAAAUUGGUCUGAACUUACAUGCUACUGGGCAGCUUCUCAGUGCCAUGUUCAGUUUUCUGUUUCUAUGUUGAUCUGGAAGCCAAAUGAUAGACUCCUUCUAAUAGGCUUCUAGAACAAGGCAUGUCUGUUGUUGGCAUUGACGUAGGAGUUUUCUUCUUGGUUACUCUGGAAACUGGGGAUCCCUGGCUGGUGCCACCCUACCUGGGGCUCACUUGCACACACUGGCAUGCCCCAGCUUGCCUGUGUUACAGCUUGUAGCCACGUUUGGCAUUCCUGAGCUCUUGUACUGUGCCCAAGAAGAAUGAGGUUAUGCUGGACAUUGAAGCGUGAGGAGGGCAAAGAAGCAUUUUUAUCGAGCAAUGGAAAUAGUUUUCAGCAGAGAGAGGAUGCGAGGUUGGACCUCCUACCUGAAGGACAACAGAAGUUUCAGGAAAAACCACCAGUCAUUAUAUGAAGAUUAUACAUUGGUUUGGCCCAGAAAGGCAAGACAUCUUGAAGCAGGGGUUUACAGAUCAUAGAAGCUAUUUUCUGAAUGAAAGAGUGGAGGUACCAGGAUGGUCUCCUUGAAUGAUGGCUGGAGCCUGUUAUGAUAAUGUCACUACUAUAUGUUUGUCUUCUGGAAUAUCUUUUGGAAAUUAUGAUGCCAUUAGCCAAGAAUCUGCUGGUAAUGCAAGAAUGUCAUGUGUGGGGGUUCUCACACACUUGUGUGCAUAAACCUUGUUUGGAAAACUGCUUUAAGAAGCACAUCACCCCUGAACUGGCCCUCAAGAUUCUGAUUCUCAAAUUCUCAGAGGUUAUUCCUGGCAAAGUCUGUGCAAGGGGACCCAGAUACAAAUCAUUUUACUCAAGUCUUGGAGCAGCCUUCGAAGAAAAACAAAUUUCAUACCAGCCAGAACCUGAGUGGAGGCCAAGAACUGCCAACAUGUUUGGAAGGCCAAACGCUUUUAGAAAUAUGGUCC
rnacentral:lncRNA from 13 species